UACGUAGGGUGCGAGCGUUGUCCGGAAUUAUUGGGCGUAAAGAGCUCGUAGGCGGUUUGUCGCGUCGACUGUGAAAACCCGAGGCUUAACCUCGGGCCUGCAGUCGAUACGGGCAGACUAGAGUUCGGUAGGGGAGACUGGAAUUCCUGGUGUAGCGGUGAAAUGCGCAGAUAUCAGGAGGAACACCGAUGGCGAAGGCAGGUCUCUGGGCCAUAACUGACGCUGAGAAGCGAAAGCAUGGGGAGCGAACAGG
rnacentral:rRNA from 1 species